rnacentral:rRNA from 1 species
UACGAAGGGGGCUAGCGUUGCUCGGAAUCACUGGGCGUAAAGCGCACGUAGGCGGCUUUUUAAGUCAGGGGUGAAAUCCUGGAGCUCAACUCCAGAACUGCCUUUGAUACUGGGAAGCUUGAGUCCGGGAGAGGUGAGUGGAACUCCGAGUGUAGAGGUGAAAUUCGUAGAUAUUGGGAGGAACACCAGUGGCGAAGGCGGCUCACUGGACCGGUUCUGACGCUGAGGCGCGAAAGCGUGGGGAGCAAACGGG